AAAAAAAUAUUAUUAUGGAAGGACAAAAACGUACUAAGUAGACAAAAAAAAAAAAGUCUUUAAAUUAUUACAAAAAAAAUGGGUGCCCUUGGCCUCUCCAUGUGCUUGUGGCUCUACUACUGUAAAAAUCUUAAUAAAUGAAAUCUAUAUAACAGGUGACAUUUGAUGAAAGAGCUGAAAGAGCUGUCCCCUG
rnacentral:rRNA from 14 species